rnacentral:rRNA from 1 species
ACAGGGAUUGCCCUAGUAACGGCGAGUGAAGCGGCAACAGCUCAAAUUUGAAAUCUGGCGUCUUUGGCGUCCGAGUUGUAAUUUGCAGAGGGCGCUUUGGCAUUGGCAGCGGUCCAAGUUCCUUGGAACAGGACGUCACAGAGGGUGAGAAUCCCGUACGUGGUCGCUAGCCUUUACCGUGUAAAGCCCCUUCGACGAGUCGAGUUGUUUGGGAAUGCAGCUCUAAAUGGGAGGUAAAUUUCUUCUAAAGCUAAAUACUGGCCAGAGACCGAUAGCGCACAAGUAGAGUGAUCGAAAGAUGAAAAGCACUUUGGAAAGAGAGUUAAAAAGCACGUGAAAUUGUUGAAAGGGAAGCGCUUGCAGCCAGACUUGCCUGUAGUUGCUCAUCCGGGUUUUUACCCGGUGCACUCUUCUAUAGGCAGGCCAGCAUCAGUUUGGGCGGUUGGAUAAAGGUCUCUGUCAUGUACCUCUCUUCGGGGAGAACUUAUAGGGGAGACGACAUGCAACCAGCCUGGACUGAGGUCCGCGCAUCUGCUAGGAUGCUGGCGUAAUGGCUGUAAGCGGCCCGUCUUGAAACACGGACCAAGGAGUCUAACAUCUAUGCGAGUGUUUGGGUGUCAAGCCCGAGCGCGUAAUGAAAGUGAACGGAGGUGGGAACCCCUCGGGGUGCACCAUCGACCGAUCCUGAUGUCUUCGGAUGGAUUUGAGUAAGAGCAUAGCUGUUGGGACCCGAAAGAUGGUGAACUAUGCUUGAAUAGGGUGAAGCCAGAGGAAACUCUGGUGGAGGCUCGCAGCGGUUCUGACGUGCAAAUCGAUCGUCAAAUUUGGGCAUAGGGGCGAAAGACUAAUCGAA